AAAGUAUGAAGAGAAUGUCGGGAGAGGAAGUGGUGGCUCUGAGUCAGCACGAGUCAUCUGGUUCCAGUGACAAUGAAGACUGAGGCAAGCUGCGCAUAUCUUGGGAUCUUCACAGCACAGUGGCUGGGAAGGCAGGCGGACCCGUCUAUCAGCUUCUCCCUGUUUGAAGGUCCGACUCAUCAUGGCAGGACUUGGCGUUGGGUCAGAUGCCCUGUGGCUGUGUCAUGUGGAAUGCGAGGCUGCCUGCUCAUAUCUCAGCAGAUCCAGAGGGGACAAAGAAGAAGGCCACACCCACACGACUUCAGGUCACAGAAUUGUGGGUGAUGAGUUCUUUGUUCUAGAACUUCCUGUGUAAUGAAACUGCCAUCCAUAAUUGUUUUCCUGUGGACUGCUUAUUAAAAGAAGUGAUUUUUGAUGAACUAAACUAGGUGGGAUUCUUGCGGGGGCAGGGAUCGAGUCAAACCUUGGAAAUGACGUCAUUCUGAACUCAUCUGCCUUUAUCCAGAAGACUACCAAAGCAAACCAGAGGACCAGAGAACAGCAGCUGCUCUGGACAAAGAGGGGAGGACACCCACACCCACAUACCAAGUUCUGGUUGACUUCUACAGCAGAAGAAGCAGGAGACACAAGAAGUCUCCUCAGAAGAACAUUGACCAGCACGCCUGCAUCCUUUCUGUUCUGACACACUUGUUACCUGGAUGACUUCUUUCUCAUCACCCACGUGCCAAGAGUGCCAUGUCUCAUCUGGACCAGAGACUCUGAGGAUCACACCAACAGAGACACAAAUGACACUUAAAGAAAGCCACAUCAGCUUUUACAACUUACCCCCCAAUACCGAAUGUCAUCAACUCAAUUUAAAUCAUUGGAUGGUUCUGUUCUCAGGGCCAGAGAGUUUCACUAAACUUCGUCGAACCCUUCGGUAUAACUGUCAA
rnacentral:lncRNA from 1 species